UACAGAGGGGGCUAGCGUUGUUCGGAAUUACUGGGCGUAAAGGGCGCGUAGGCGGCCCGCUAAGUCGAACGUGAAAUCCCCGGGCUCAACCCGGGAACUGCGUCCGAUACUGGCAGGCUUGAAUCCGGGCGAGGGAUGUGGAAUUCCAGGUGUAGCGGUGAAAUGCGUAGAUAUCUGGAGGAACACCGGUGGCGAAGGCGGCAUCCUGGACCGGUAUUGACGCUGAGGCGCGAAAGCCAGGGGAGCAAACGGG
rnacentral:rRNA from 1 species